AGAACUAACCAAACCAACCCCUUUUCUCUCCCAAAAGAAAACCUAGCCGUCACCAUCCACCCCAUCCCCAUCACGUCACUUCCGUCACCUCACCGCCGGCUCCACCGUCGGACCGCUGGAUCAAAGUGGUCAUCGACGCCACUGUCCUCAUCAGUCGCCUUUUCUCCCAUCACCCAUCUCCCUUUUUCUGAAAAAUGGAGCUCGACAACUCAUAAAAGGUCGAUUAAGACCUCUAAGAAAGGGGAAGAGCAAAGAUCCAUCAGCCCAUCUCUCAAUCCGAUGGAUACAAACCAGAAUCAGCAAUAUUGCUGCCCCAAACAGCUCUUUCUCCUUCAAAUCACCUCUGAAAAGUUCUCGGCUGAGCAAGGACUGCUUGAAGCGGAUUUGGAGACUUGACGACGACAUUAGCCUCAGUUCGCUGUCCCGCAAAAGGUUAGUAAUCGCCCUCGCUUUACCUUUUGUCUUCAGUUGUUAGGAGUGUAUGUAUAUGCUGUUAUUAAGUAAUGUUUUCAUUGUUUUGCCUAUUUGAGCUUGGUUUGCUGCUCUGUUCGGUUCUGCCCUAAAUCUGCAUAUAAAAGAUAGCUAAGAAUAUAUGAAGGAACUAUCGAUUAAAUUUUAGAACAUGUGAAUGAGCUCAUCGCUCGUUUAAAUCAUGUCUCAUAUUUCUGUUAUAAUCUCUCUUGUUAUUUCUAUCAAAUCAGUAUGUAUUGUAGCCAAAUAGAGCUAAAAAUAUAGUCAUUGGAUUGUUUGUUGGUAGCUGGUCUGUUUUGUUUCGAAUUUGUUUGGUUUUAAAUAGUAGAUGAAGAGGGGUAAAGGAGACUAAUUGCUCCUGGAAAAAUGGUAGUGUGACUUUUUCAACACUAGCAUCCUGUCAAUUUUUUUAAUUCCAUCCAUUAAUCUAGAGGGACUAUUUUAUCAUAAAUCUAGUUGAAAACAGUACAUAAAGAUUUUGGCGUAAGUUGUGAGUUUUCAAAAGCCAACUUGCUGACCCUUUAGGAUAUAAACCUGCGUCUGAGUCAAUGUUUGUAUGGAUUCUGAAAUACUGCAAUAUUGAAAUAUAAAUGAGGUCACGAAGUAGUAAGAAGCCAAGAUUGGUUUUAAAAUCUUCCUUGUGUUAGGUAUGUUUAGGUAUGUGUUAAUUGGUUCAUGUUAAAAUUUUGAGUAGGUUUGUUGUGAAUUUAGUCUUCUCAGUACUGCUUGUUUUAAAAUCACUACUAUAACAUUUUGGAAAGAUUUUUUAAUUUAGUAGCAUAUCUUUUAGCUGAAUCCUCACAAGUAGUGUGUGACACCUUUGAGCUUUAUGUCUAAAUUUUUUUUGCUUCCUAUAAUGUCCAGAUGAUCCAGUUUGGGAUUUUGUAAUAUGGAAAACAAAAAUGCUUGUUUGAAGCUUGGUCUCUGUUUUGUUUCUCAUGUAUUUUUUUUUUGUUUUGUUUUACAAAGAAUAUCAAAGUGUAAAAAAUGGAUAAAUUAUUAUGUACUACCUGAGUUUGUCUUCUCUUUAUGCCUGGAUAACAAGGUUUCUUAGGCGUUCUAAUGACACUAAAAAAUCUGAAUAGAAUUAAAGAGAGCGACAGUUUGUUUCAACAUGAUUUUUGCAUAGUUUUCCUGUUGGUAUUAUAGGGUUCGGAUUGAAUUUUUGAAGUAAGUCAUUUGCGGCUUUUGAGUCUGGUUAUUCUGAACAAGUUGUACUUACUCAAAGGGAGGUCUCAUUUGCUUGUGUACUCGAAAGAACUAAGGCAGGGGCAUAUGUAAAAAACUCAGUAGCUAUUUUGCUUCCCUUGUGUGUUCGUGAGGUAGUUACUGAAGUUUCGAUAAACUUGAACGUACGCUUGAUAAUCCGUGAUCCUACCUCUUUUGUGUGGUUAAAUUCUUUCUUUAAAAAUCAUCUUUUAUUUCAAAAGCAAUGUGUUAGUUUAACUAAGAAAGUAAAUUGUUUAGGUGUAUCUUUUUCUAGAAUACGGUCGUCUUGUUCCUAUUUUUUUUUAAGAAUCUUUAAUAUCCAUGUUGCACAUGUAGAACAAGCUUAGACUUGAAAACGAGCCUUUGGUCUCUCUUUUGAUAUUAUUUCCUGCUUAAAUCAUGACUUGGGGAAUCUUGUUUACCUAAGUAUGAAAGUUUAGUUUGUGUUGAGAAUCAGGAGGUAGUGGUUGUCACUUUGUUUUGAAUACCUUUGUAAAUCGAGUACGUGCUAAACAUAAUUUCCAUGCUAAAGUUCUGGUUUGUUAUUUUGCGCAUUCCUGUGGGUUUUAUGGCCUAGAAAUAAAAGCUAUAAGACUGAAAUUUUGCAUUAAUUGUAGACUAUUACACAUUCUAGUUAAAUCACAAUAGUUAGUUUAUUUCAUGGGUUGGAAUUGUUAAUACAUCUCUUUUUCCUGCAUAUAAGAAGUUUCAUUUGAACUUGAUCGGUUUCUAGACUAAUAUGACAAAGGUCCUGGGUAUUAAGUGACAUAGUGCUUUGAUGCUUUGGUCUUUUAAGCCUUUUGCAAGUGUGUGGAUAUGUACUGCAGGUUCUUUCUUUUAGCAGCAAUUUACAAGAAAUCUUAAACUUGAUUAAGCCUUUUCAGGCUUGCUUAUUAAGAAGUUAUAACAAGAAGGUUUUGAAAUAAGUUGAUAACUUGUUAGUUAUUACCUCUCUUGUUUGAACUUUGAACUAAAUGUUGUAUUAUUUAAACUAAGUAAAGGACCUACCAUUAAGGUGAGAUAAUCUGUGUUGCUUCCCUUUUUUUUAAAGGUUGAGUUAGAGUAAUAUUUGUUUGACUGUAUAUUUUCAUGUAUAGAGCCUUGUGAAUAUAAAGUAUGCCUCCUAUAAGCUAUGUAUGUAUUUGAAGUUUGAGCUAAUCUAGAGAUAGGUUCCUGGGAAGACCAUUUAAAGAAUUUAAUAGAUCCAUUUUCUUGUUCACUUGAUUUCUUCUUGAUUGAGAAUGGUUACUAAUCCUUUUCUUCCUUUCUUUUUCACGCAACACUUGGGAGCGUUUGGAGUUAUGGCAACUCCGGAUUCUGUCCAGAUCAGAGAAGAAACCAGUAGCAGCCCCCUUUGCUUGUGUCUAGCGUCCCUCGUUCGUGUCAAGCGUCCCUGUCCUCCUCCUUCUCUUCAAACUUUAUGUCUUUGCAUUAGCAUAUAUAUAUACAUGUUUAUAUUUUUGACUAACACUUUGUAUGGAUUGUAUUUGUAGCGUAUCUGUUUAUUGUUUGUGAACGAACCUGUGGAAAAAUGGCUGAGCAGAACAGGGAAUUUAGUCCUUA